rnacentral:rRNA from 1 species
UACGUAGGUGGCAAGCGUUGUCCGGAUUUACUGGGCGUAAAGGGCGUGCAGGCGGCCCGUUAAGUGCAGGGUGAAAGCUCCCGGCUCAACUGGGAGAGGUCCUUGCAUACUGGCGGGCUUGAGGGAGCUAGAGGAGAGUGGAAUUCCCGGUGUAGUGGUGAUAUGCGUAGAUAUCGGGAGGAACACCAGUGGCGAAGGCGGCUCUCUGGGGCUUUCCUGACGCUGAGACGCGAAAGCGUGGGGAGCGAACCGG